rnacentral:misc_RNA from 1 species
AAGUCGUAACAAGGUAACCGUAGGUGAACCUGCGGUUGGAUCAUUACAAAGUUUUUGGUUCAAGCUUGUUUUUAACAAACGAGCUUGGGUCUUUAACCCCUUGUGCAUUUGUUCAUUUGAAAUCUGGGUGUUCUUUGUUUCGUUCUCUUCUUUGUAAGAGUCUGAAAAACCACCCAAAACCUUUUAAACUCUUGAUAAAUUGUCUGAUAUUAUGAAAAUAAUUAUAAACAACUUUUGACAACGGAUCUCUUGGCUCUC